rfam:Hordeum vulgare subsp. vulgare, WGS project CAJW01000000 data, contig: morex_contig_40232
UUUUUACUCCCUCCAUCCGGAAUUACUUGUUGCACAAAUGAAUUAAAAUGGAUGUAUCUAGAACUAAAAUACACCUAGAUACAUCCAUUCUUGUGACAAGUAUUUCCGGACGAAGGGAAAAUACA